UACGGAGGAUGCGAGCGUUAUCCGGAUUCACUGGGUUUAAAGGGUGAGUAGGCGGGUUAGUAAGUCAGUGGUGAAAGUCUGUCGCUUAACGAUAGGAUUGCCAUUGAUACUGCUAGUCUUGAGUUCAGUUGAGGUAGGCGGAAUGUGCAGUGUAGCGGUGAAAUGCUUAGAUAUUGCACAGAACACCAAUUGCGAAGGCAGCUUACUAAACUGAUACUGACGCUGAGUCACGAAAGCGUGGGGAUCAAACAGG
rnacentral:rRNA from 1 species